UACAGAGGGGGCAAGCGUUAUUCGGAAUUAUUGGGCGUAAAGCGCGCGUAGGCGGCCGCUUAAGUCGGAUGUGAAAGCCCCUGGCUCAACUGGGGAAGUGCACCCGAAACUGAACGGCUUGAAUACUAAAGAGGGUCGCGGAAUUCCCGGUGUAGAGGUGAAAUUCGUAGAUAUCGGGAGGAACACCGGUGGCGAAGGCGGCGACCUGGGUAGAUAUUGACGCUGAGGCGCGAAAGCGUGGGGAGCAAACAGG
rnacentral:rRNA from 1 species